rnacentral:rRNA from 1 species
GAUGAACGCUGGCGGCGUGCCUAAUACAUGCAAGUCGAGCGAACAGAUAAGGAGCUUGCUCCUUUGACGUUAGCGGCGGACGGGUGAGUAACACGUGGGUAACCUACCUAUAAGACUGGGAUAACUUCGGGAAACCGGAGCUAAUACCGGAUAAUAUUUCGAACCGCAUGGUUCGAUAGUGAAAGAUGGUUUUGCUAUCACUUAUAGAUGGACCCGCGCCGUAUUAGCUAGUUGGUAAGGUAACGGCUUACCAAGGCGACGAUACGUAGCCGACCUGAGAGGGCGAUCGGCCACACUGGAACUGAGACACGGUCCAGACUCCUACGGGAGGCAGCAGUAGGGAAUCUUCCGCAAUGGGCGAAAGCCUGACGGAGCAACGCCGCGUGAGUGAUGAAGGUCUUCGGAUCGUAAAACUCUGUUAUUAGGGAAGAACAUACGUGUAAGUAACUGUGCACGUCUUGACGGUACCUAAUCAGAAAGCCACGGCUAACUACGUG